UACGUAGGGUGCGAGCGUUAAUCGGAAUUACUGGGCGUAAAGCGUGCGCAGGCGGUUUUGUAAGCCAGAUGUGAAAUCCCCGGGCUCAACCUGGGAAUGGCAUUUGGGACUGCAAGGCUGGAGUGUGGCAGAGGAGACUGGAAUUCCUGGUGUAGCAGUGAAAUGCGUAGAUAUCAGGAGGAAUACCGAUGGCGAAGGCAGGUCUCUGGGCUGACACUGACGCUCAUGCACGAAAGCGUGGGGAGCAAACAGG
rnacentral:rRNA from 1 species